AGUGAACGCUGGCGGUAGGCCUAACACAUGCAAGUCGAACGGCAGCACAGUAAGAGCUUGCUCUUACGGGUGGCGAGUGGCGGACGGGUGAGGAAUACAUCGGAAUCUACUUUUUCGUGGGGGAUAACGUAGGGAAACUUACGCUAAUACCGCAUACGACCUACGGGUGAAAGCAGGGGAUUUUCGGACCUUGCGCGAUUGAAUGAGCCGAUGUCGGAUUAGCUAGUUGGCGGGGUAAAGGCCCCACCAAGGCGACGAUCCGUAGCUGGUCUGAGAGGAUGAUCAGCCACACUGGAACUGAGACACGGUCCAGACUCCUACGGGAGGCAGCAGUGGGGAAUAUUGGACAAUGGGCGCAAGCCUGAUCCAGCCAUACCGCGUGGGUGAAGAAGGCCUUCGGGUUGUAAAGCCCUUUUGUUGGGAAAGAAAAGCAGCAGGUUAAUACCCCGCUGUUCUGACGGUACCCAAAGAAUAAGCACCGGCUAACUUCGUG
rnacentral:rRNA from 1 species